UGCAUUGGAUUGAGACAAUGUACAAAUGUUAUCGAUAAACAAUUGGAGGGCAAGUCUGGUGCCAGCAGCCGCGGUAAUUCCAGCUCCAAUAGCGUAUAUUAACGUUGUUGCAGUUAAAAAGCUCGUAGUUGAAAUGUGGGAUGAAGUAUAUAAUGAAUUUCUAAUUCAAUUGUAUAUUGAUUCCCCUCUCCAAUUUAUUAUUAUGGGUAUUAAUUUAUUUGUAAUAAGAAUUGGUCAUUUACUGUGAGAAAAUUAGAGUGUUCAAAGCAGGCAUUUGCUUGAAUAGAUUAGCAUGGAAUAAUACUAAAAGGCUUUUAUGGUCGAUUUAAUUGGUUUGUUCAUAAAAGCAAGAUUAAAAGGAACAGUUGGGGGUAUUCAUAUUCAAUAGUUAGAGGUGAAAUUCUCGGAUUUAUGGAAGAUGAACGUUUGCCCAAAAGAAAAUUUUAUUAUUUUUUAGAUACA
rnacentral:rRNA from 1 species